CCCGUUAAAUUUGCAACAAAUUGAUCGACUAACUAUAAUAUGCGUAAAGAUACCUAAUUUUGCGUUUGCAUUUCCAAAAUCAAAUCAAACAAUCAUAUUCGCUCAUCGGUUUAACCUAUUCACUCCAUUAUUUACGCUCAAAUUAUCUAUGCGAUGAAACUUGAUCCCAGUAUACAUGAUCGUGAAAAAUCAGGGACGGAAUCACAAGAAAUCACAUACAUAUCUUCUUCCUUUCUCUCUCACGAACACUUGAGAAUUUUUCUUCUGUCUUCUGUUGCUCCUAAUUUGAAUUGAUUUAUUGGUGCAGGUAUCUAAGUAAUUUGAAGAAGUUUGGUCCCGAUAGGAGAUAACAUCAAAUCAUCGUUGAAACAAACAGAUCGCAAGGAGGCAGGAGAUGGUUCGGUUAUAUUGUCGUCUUAUGAUUCUGAUCUCAUCAUUUGGUUUAACAUGUACGGAUGUUAACGAUGGUGGAUUCAAUUUGAGAAUUUAUGGUUCACGAUUUCUUCUUAUUAAGGUUCUUAAUUCAUGGUAUUCAAUUUUAUUUUUUCUGUUCUAUGUUUCUGAUUUACAAGGUCUUUUUACAUUAAAGUUUGCUCCUUCGUUGGUUGAGUUCUUGGGCAAAAGUUAAGGACAAACUUUGAUUUAACCUAAUUUCUUUCCAAGAGACAUCUUCAUGAUAUUCUUAAAAUAAAUGAGAAUUUUUUUAUGGAAGCAUAACAAAAUCGGUUGUAUUCUCCUUUACCCUCCACUAAUUGCUGAUGAACUCAUUUAUUUAACACCUGAUACCUCCCCUUCUCAACACACCGAUGAACAAGUUAAUCUAUAUCAUCCUUUCAUAUUCUUUUUGAAAAAAAAAAAAUUGAGCCCUUGUGUAUGUUAAUUUGUUUUUUUGAUAGAAUUCUUUGCUUAAAGAUGCAUUGGAUUCUCUUUGGUUUACUAAUUCAAAUUUUAUGUGAUUAUGUUCUUUGGCCAAUAGGUAACAUGUUUGUUGGUGAUUUAACUUUUAGUUCUUUUUGUACUACGGUUCAAGUGUAUAGGGUGAGACAAUUAUUCCUUUUAGUUGUGCAUUGGAACAGAAUCUUGUUGAUCUUCCAGAAGAUCAAGCAGAAAAAUACUGUGAGGAAAUCUCUUUAUUUUAGGUAUAAAUUCUCUGUUAAAACCCAAAGGACGUUUUUUUUUUGGUUUAGAAUUCCAUGGAUAAUGGACUUAUAUCCUGCCUUGCAAAAUGACUCAUUUGAUUGCUAAACACCCCAUCUUUCAGUUUUUUCAGAUAUGAAGGCAUACCUAUUCUGCUUGGUUUCAAUUUCAGCUUACACCAAAAACUUUCAAACAUGAACUGUUUUGUUCAUUUUGUAUAAAAUUGUUUUCUAUAAUGUCAGUCAACCUCUCAUCUGAAAUUAGGUCAAAUUAGGUUUAUUUUGAGUUGACUUUGAGCUUUUUUUAGUUGGUUUUUUACCUCAACACACAAGAUGAGGAGGCCCAUGGCCUUGGUGCUGUCAUAGUAUAGCCUCUGUAACAUAAGGAUGCUAACUAGGGAUGAUAAAAAUGGUGACAUUGUUUAGAAACCCGUUUCUCUAACUCCAUUUUGCUAAGACUCACACUCAUGUGUCAUUGAUUACUAACAAUUUAGAAUGGGUGAAUAGUAACUUUUGGGUGUUUCUUUUUGAAUUAAUAGAAAAAGGCUCAAACUUUAAAGUGGAAGGAUGGAGGGUGUAUGUAUUCAGACCCUAAACUAUGUUAGAAAGUAUAUAUACAGAGUAUAAGAGGUCAUCAGCCAGAUACAAACAGGGUAAUAAUUUGCGUGAUGCUGUGAAUUCAUAUAACUAAGAUUAAGUUACAUUUUGAGGCCUUCAAGCAUAAAUCGAUUUGCAUUAACAUAUUUGAACAAACAGGGACGGAAAUUUUGACAUCAAUCUUAUUCCAUAAAUUAUAUUAGCUAAUUGCAGAAUAAAUGUUGAAAAGAACUGUUAUCAAUUUAACAAACAGUUCUCUUUUUUUCUCCAUUAAAUGUUAUCUAAAUCCUGGCGUUGGUUAGAAGAGAAUGAAGAUGUAUCUCUUGGAAAGCAUAUUGAACAAGCUCAGAUGGCUAUUGCAAAUGGUGGAGAUUGGCAAAAGGAAGUCUAUCAAAAAGAUGGUGCAUAUGAAAGUAGAUGUGUGUAAGUUUUGCCAUAUGUUAUGGUCCAACAUUCUGUAGAUUUGCUUAAAUUUUUGUUGUAUUGCUAGCUAAGUUUUGUAGUCGCAUCUUUGCAAGUAAAUGAUGAUAAAGUAAAGUCUGUACUUGAGCUGA